rfam:Trichinella zimbabwensis scaffold125s, whole genome shotgun sequence.
GUUGGAUACGGCGAUUUGGUCCCAGUUGCGCCAGCAGGAAAAUUUGUUGGUUCUUUGUGCGCAAUUGUUGGUGUUCUUGUACUUGCCUUACCGGUGCCGGUGAUUGUCGCCAAU